rnacentral:rRNA from 1 species
GACGAACGCUGGCGGCGUGCUUAACACAUGCAAGUCGAACGGAAAGGCCCUGCUUUUGUGGGGUGCUCGAGUGGCGAACGGGUGAGUAACACGUGAGUAACCUGCCCUUGACUUUGGGAUAACUUCAGGAAACUGGGGCUAAUACCGGAUAGGAGCUCCUGCUGCAUGGUGGGGGUUGGAAAGUUUCGGCGGUUGGGGAUGGACUCGCGGCUUAUCAGCUUGUUGGUGGGGUAGUGGCUUACCAAGGCUUUGACGGGUAGCCGGCCUGAGAGGGUGACCGGCCACAUUGGGACUGAGAUACGGCCCAGACUCCUACGGGAGGCAGCAGUGGGGAAUAUUGCACAAUGGGCGGAAGCCUGAUGCAGCAACGCCGCGUGCGGGAUGACGGCCUUCGGGUUGUAAACCGCUUUCGCCUGUGACGAAGCGUGAGUGACGGUAAUGGAAAAGAAGCACCGGCUAACUACGUG